AUUGAACGCUGGCGGCAUGCUUUACACAUGCAAGUCGAACGGUAACAGGGUGCUUGCACCGCCGACGAGUGGCGAACGGGUGAGUAAUGCGUCGGAACGUGCCGAGUAGUGGGGGAUAACGCAGCGAAAGUUGUGCUAAUACCGCAUACGUACUGAGGUAGAAUGUGGGGGACCUUCGGGCCUCACGCUAUUCGAGCGGCCGACGUCUGAUUAGCUAGUAGGUGAGGUAAAGGCUCACCUAGGCGACGAUCAGUAGCGGGUCUGAGAGGAUGAUCCGCCACACUGGGACUGAGGCACGGCCCAGACUCCUACGGGAGGCAGCAGUGGGGAAUUUUGGACAAUGGGCGAAAGCCUGAUCCAGCCAUUCCGCGUGUCUGAAGAAGGCCUUCGGGUUGUAAAGGACUUUUGUCGGGGAGGAAAUCCCCAGCGUUAAUACCGCUGGGGGAUGACAGUACCUGAAGAAUAAGCACCGGCUAACUACGUGCCAGCCGCCGCCGUAAAAC
rnacentral:rRNA from 1 species